rnacentral:rRNA from 1 species
UAUGUGAUCGUCUCUCGCAUAUCAAUAAGCGGAGGAAAAGAAACUAACAAGGAUUCCCCUAGUAACGGCGAGUGAAGCGGGAAGAGCUCAAAUUUGAAAUCUUAAAGGGUUUCCCUUUACGAAUUGUAGUUUAAAGGAAGUGUUUUCUGUUGAGGUUUUGGCUAAAAGUUCUUUGGAAUAGGACAUCAUAGAGGGUGAGAAUCCCGUAUUUGACCUUUACUUUCAACUUUGUGAUACACUUUCAAAGAGGUCGGAUUGUUUGGGAAUGCAGUCCAAAAUGGGUGGUAAAUUUCAUCUAAAGCUAAAUAUUGGCGAGAGACCGAUAGCGAACAAGUACCGUGAGGGAAAGAUGAAAAGAACUUUGAAAAGAGAGUUAAACAGUACGUGAAAUUGUCAAAAGGGAAGCGUUUGACACCAGUGUUGUUUUUCUGAAAAUCAAUUAAAGAACUGUUUAUGCUAAGCUGUUUAGACUUUAUCAGCUAUCUGUUUAGUUUUGAGCUUUUCUUUAAUGCACUUUUCAGUUAACAAGUCAACAUCAAUUUCUUUUGCUGUAAAAAAGCUUGAGGAAGGUGGCUUGAGAUUCGUCUUAAGUGUUUAUAGCCUCUUGCCUAUGCAGUCGGAGAGAUUGAGGUCUGCAGCGUAGAUCCUUCGGGGCUAAAUGCAUUUGUGCUAAGUUAUAGCAUUUUAUAGACAACUUGUUGACUAUGAUUUGUCUUGUAGCUUACUCGCUUAUGUUAUUUUACCUACGCUUAGGAUGUUGACGCGCGUGUGUGCGUG